rnacentral:rRNA from 1 species
AAUGAACGCUGGCGGCAUGCCUAACACAUGCAAGUCGAACGAAGGCUUCGGCCUUAGUGGCGCACGGGUGCGUAACGCGUGGGAAUCUGCCCUUGGGUUCGGAAUAACAGUUAGAAAUGACUGCUAAUACCGGAUGAUGUCGUAAGACCAAAGAUUUAUCGCCCAAGGAUGAGCCCGCGUAGGAUUAGCUAGUUGGUGGGGUAAAGGCCCACCAAGGCGACGAUCCUUAGCUGGUCUGAGAGGAUGAUCAGCCACACUGGGACUGAGACACGGCCCAGACUCCUACGGGAGGCAGCAGUGGGGAAUAUUGGACAAAGGGCGAAAGCCUGAUCCAGCAAUGCCGCGUGAGUGAUGAAGGCCUUAGGGUUGUAAAGCUCUUUUACCCGGGAUGAUAAUGACCGUACCGGGAGAUAAGCUCCGCUAA